rnacentral:rRNA from 1 species
AGUCGAGCGAGCAAAGUUAAAGGAAUACUUCGGUAGGAAUUUAAUAGCGCGAGCGGCGGAUGGGUGAGUAACACGUGGGCAAUCUACCCUUUAGCUUGGGAUACCACUUGGAAACAGGUGCUAAUACCAAAUAAGAAGUAAGAGCGCAUGCUCAAGCUAUGAAAGGCGGCUUUCGAGCUGUCACUAAAGGGUGAGCCCGCGGUGCAUUAGCUAGUUGGUAAGGUAACGGCUUACCAAGGCAAUGAUGCAUAGCCGAGUUGAGAGACUGAUCGGCCACAUUGGGACUGAGACACGGCCCAAACUCCUACGGGAGGCAGCAGUAGGGAAUCUUCCACAAUGGACGCAAGUCUGAUGGAGCAACGCCGCGUGAGUGAAGAAGGUUUUCGGAUCGUAAAGCUCUGUUGUUGGUGAAGAAGGACAUGGAUAGUAACUGAUCUAUGUUUGACGGUAAUCAACCAGAAAGUCACGGCUAACUACGUGCCAGCAGCCGCGGUAAUACGUAGGUGGCAAGCGUUGUCCGGAUUUAUUGGGCGUAAAGCGAACGCAGGCGGGAGAACAAGUCAGCUGUGAAAGCCCUCGGCUUAACCGAGGAACGGCAACUGAAACUGUUUUUCUUGAGUGCAGAAGAGGAGAGUGGAACUCCAUGUGUAGCGGUGAAAUGCGUAGAUAUAUGGAAGAACACCAGUGGCGAAGGCGGCUCUCUGGUCUGUAACUGACGCUGAGGUUCGAAAGCAUGGGUAGCGAACAGGAUUAGAUACCCUGGUAGUCCAUGCCGUAAACGAUGAGUGCUAAGUGUUGGGAGGUUUCCGCCUCUCAGUGCUGCAGCUAACGCAUUAAGCACUCCGCCUGGGGAGUACGACCGCAAGGUUAAAACUCAAAGGAAUUGAC